GACGAACGCUGGCGGCGUGCUUAACACAUGCAAGUCGAACGGAAAGGCCCUUCUUUUGUGGGGUGCUCGAGUGGCGAACGGGUGAGUAACACGUGAGUAACCUGCCCUUGACUUUGGGAUAACUUCAGGAAACUGGGGCUAAUACCGGAUAGGAGCACCGGCUGCAUGGUGUGGGUUGGAAAGUUUCGGCGGUUGGGGAUGGACUCGCGGCUUAUCAGCUUGUUGGUGGGGUAGUGGCUUACCAAGGCUUUGACGGGUAGCCGGCCUGAGAGGGUGACCGGCCACAUUGGGACUGAGAUACGGCCCAGACUCCUACGGGAGGCAGCAGUGGGGAAUAUUGCACAAUGGGCGGAAGCCUGAUGCAGCAACGCCGCGUGCGGGAUGACGGCCUUCGGGUUGUAAACCGCUUUCGCCUGUGACGAAGCGUGAGUGACGGUAAUGGGUAAAGAAGCACCGGCUAACUACGUG
rnacentral:rRNA from 1 species